rnacentral:rRNA from 1 species
GGGUUGUGAGGUUAAGCGACUAAGCGUACACGGUGGAUGCCCUGGCAGUCAGAGGCGAUGAAGGACGUGCUAAUCUGCGAUAAGCGUCGGUAAGGUGAUAUGAACCGUUAUAACCGGCGAUUUCCGAAUGGGGAAACCCAGUGUGUUUCGACACACUAUCAUUAACUGAAUCCAUAGGUUAAUGAGGCGAACCGGGGGAACUGAAACAUCUAAGUACCCCGAGGAAAAGAAAUCAACCGAGAUUCCCCCAGUAGCGGCGAGCGAACGGGGAGGAGCCCAGAGCCUGAAUCAGUGUGUGUGUUAGUGGAAGCGUCUGGAAAGGCGCGCGAUACAGGGUGACAGCCCCGUACACAAAAAUGCACAUACUGUGAGCUCGAUGAGUAGGGCGGGACACGUGGUAUCCUGUCUGAAUAUGGGGGGACCAUCCUCCAAGGCUAAAUACUCCUGACUGACCGAUAGUGAACCAGUACCGUGAGGGAAAGGCGAAAAGAACCCCGGCGAGGGGAGUGAAAAAGAACCUGAAACCGUGUACGUACAAGCAGUGGGAGCCUCUUUUAUGGGGUGACUGCGUACCUUUUGUAUAAUGGGUCAGCGACUUAUAUUCUGUAGCAAGGUUAACCGAAUAGGGGAGCCGAAGGGAAACCGAGUCUUAACUGGGCGUUAAGUUGCAGGGUAUAGACCCGAAACCCGGUGAUCUAGCCAUGGGCAGGUUGAAGGUUGGGUAACACUAACUGGAGGACCGAACCGACUAAUGUUGAAAAAUUAGCGGAUGACUUGUGGCUGGGGGUGAAAGGCCAAUCAAACCGGGAGAUAGCUGGUUCUCCCCGAAAGCUAUUUAGGUAGCGCCUCGUGAAUUCAUCUCCGGGGGUAGAGCACUGUUUCGGCAAGGGGGUCAUCCCGACUUACCAACCCGAUGCAAACUGCGAAUACCGGAGAAUGUUAUCACGGGAGACACACGGCGGGUGCUAACGUCCGUCGUGAAGAGGGAAACAACCCAGACCGCCAGCUAAGGUCCCAAAGUCAUGGUUAAGUGGGAAACGAUGUGGGAAGGCCCAGACAGCCAGGAUGUUGGCUUAGAAGCAGCCAUCAUUUAAAGAAAGCGUAAUAGCUCACUGGUCGAGUCGGCCUGCGCGGAAGAUGUAACGGGGCUAAACCAUGCACCGAAGCUGCGGCAGCGACGCUUAUGCGUUGUUGGGUAGGGGAGCGUUCUGUAAGCCUGUGAAGGUGUGCUGUGAGGCAUGCUGGAGGUAUCAGAAGUGCGAAUGCUGACAUAAGUAACGAUAAAGCGGGUGAAAAGCCCGCUCGCCGGAAGACCAAGGGUUCCUGUCCAACGUUAAUCGGGGCAGGGUGAGUCGACCCCUAAGGCGAGGCCGAAAGGCGUAGUCGAUGGGAAACAGGUUAAUAUUCCUGUACUUGGUGUUACUGCGAAGGGGGGACGGAGAAGGCUAUGUUGGCCGGGCGACGGUUGUCCCGGUUUAAGCGUGUAGGCUGGUUUUCCAGGCAAAUCCGGAAAAUCAAGGCUGAGGCGUGAUGACGAGGCACUACGGUGCUGAAGCAACAAAUGCCCUGCUUCCAGGAAAAGCCUCUAAGCAUCAGGUAACAUCAAAUCGUACCCCAAACCGACACAGGUGGUCAGGUAGAGAAUACCAAGGCGCUUGAGAGAACUCGGGUGAAGGAACUAGGCAAAAUGGUGCCGUAACUUCGGGAGAAGGCACGCUGAUAUGUAGGUGAAGCGACUUGCUCGUGGAGCUGAAAUCAGUCGAAGAUACCAGCUGGCUGCAACUGUUUAUUAAAAACACAGCACUGUGCAAACACGAAAGUGGACGUAUACGGUGUGACGCCUGCCCGGUGCCGGAAGGUUAAUUGAUGGGGUUAGCGGUAACGCGAAGCUCUUGAUCGAAGCCCCGGUAAACGGCGGCCGUAACUAUAACGGUCCUAAGGUAGCGAAAUUCCUUGUCGGGUAAGUUCCGACCUGCACGAAUGGCGUAAUGAUGGCCAGGCUGUCUCCACCCGAGACUCAGUGAAAUUGAACUCGCUGUGAAGAUGCAGUGUACCCGCGGCAAGACGGAAAGACCCCGUGAACCUUUACUAUAGCUUGACACUGAACAUUGAGCCUUGAUGUGUAGGAUAGGUGGGAGGCUUUGAAGUGUGGACGCCAGUCUGCAUGGAGCCGACCUUGAAAUACCACCCUUUAAUGUUUGAUGUUCUAACGUUGGCCCCUGAUCGGGGUUGCGGACAGUGUCUGGUGGGUAGUUUGACUGGGGCGGUCUCCUCCUAAAGAGUAACGGAGGAGCACGAAGGUUGGCUAAUCCUGGUCGGACAUCAGGAGGUUAGUGCAAUGGCAUAAGCCAGCUUGACUGCGAGCGUGACGGCGCGAGCAGGUGCGAAAGCAGGUCAUAGUGAUCCGGUGGUUCUGAAUGGAAGGGCCAUCGCUCAACGGAUAAAAGGUACUCCGGGGAUAACAGGCUGAUACCGCCCAAGAGUUCAUAUCGACGGCGGUGUUUGGCACCUCGAUGUCGGCUCAUCACAUCCUGGGGCUGAAGUAGGUCCCAAGGGUAUGGCUGUUCGCCAUUUAAAGUGGUACGCGAGCUGGGUUUAGAACGUCGUGAGACAGUUCGGUCCCUAUCUGCCGUGGGCGCUGGAGAACUGAGGGGGGCUGCUCCUAGUACGAGAGGACCGGAGUGGACGCAUCACUGGUGUUCGGGUUGUCAUGCCAAUGGCACUGCCCGGUAGCUAAAUGCGGAAGAGAUAAGUGCUGAAAGCAUCUAAGCACGAAACUUGCCCCGAGAUGAGUUCUCCCUGAGACUUUAAGUCUCCUGAAGGAACGUUGAAGACGACGACGUUGAUAGGCCGGG